ensembl:lncRNA
AAAAGAGGAAAGAGAGAGAGAGAGAGAGAGAGAGAGAGAGAGAGGGAGAAGUCGCUGUCAAGUUAUCAAAAAGAAAAGGGAAACGACGAAAAGGGACAGCACCUGUCGAGUGAGUGUGAAGAGACAAGGGUUGUCAACGGAACACACUGACCCAGAGCACAAAGACAUCCAAACAUUCAUUAGCAACCCUUUGAAAUAUUCGACACUUGAAGUGUUGAAUGAAAUUUUAACCAACUGCCAAAUCUUUGUGCAUCCCUGUUUGUUCAUUUAUCUACACAUAUAAUGUGUACAUUAUAUCUGAAAUUUUGCCCAGAAGACUUCCUGAAAACCUGCUUCAAACCCGUCACAGAAUCCAGUACAAAUCAACAUAGAAGAAGUAGUGACAGAAAGCACAACCAAAUGAUUCAUCGUUUCAACAGUCGUCUGAGAAGUAGACAGAGAGAAGUGUGUUAGGGUCAGCGGGGCUGAUGUUUUUUCCGACCCGAGAGAGGAAGAGGGAGAGAGGAAGAGAGAGAGAGAGAGCUUCAACUGUUGUCUAUUGUCUGGCGUGCGAAGCACAUACCUCCACGCACAGGCGCUCACAAACAGCCCCCUAACACAUGUGUCAGAAAUAGAUAUAUCAGAGAUUUGCCAUUACACCAAUUACUUUCCCCGAACAAAGCUGUGAGCGUGAUAGACAGACGGGGAGCUGUGAGAGAGUGGCUUCCAGGGUCCGGACACACCCCUGCACGGGGAGCGAUGCUGCCGGGUAGUCACGGCAAUGAAGAACCCUCUCCGACGCAGGGACGGCUUCUUGCCAACGAAGUGUUAGGAUUGAGGCUUUGGCCGCGGCCCCUCUUCAGCAUCUAAAACGCCUUUUAAUUGUCUUGUGCCUGCGCUGGUAUUUACUGAUCCGCCCACCAGGCAGGCAGGUGCAUCAGGGCUCUGGCCGCCGCUUAAUAGCAGACUGCGUGGACGCCGCCGAGAAAGCACCAGCGCCGCUUUGAGAGAAAAGGUUUGAGCUGUGAGCGGGGGCGGAGAGACGCCACCCUUCGGGGCUUUAUGCCUCCGUCUCAACGUAGAUGUUCUACACCCCCCCCC